GACGAACGCUGGCGGCGUGCCUAACACAUGCAAGUCGAGCGAGUGAAUCUCCUUCGGGAGUGAAGCUAGCGGCGGACGGGUGAGUAACACGUGGGCAACCUGCCUCAUAGAGGGGAAUAGCCUUUCGAAAGGAAGAUUAAUACCGCAUAAGAUUGUAGCUUCGCAUGAAGUAGCAAUUAAAGGAGCAAUCCGCUAUGAGGUGGGCCCGCGGCGCAUUAGCUAGUUGGUGAGGUAACGGCUCACCAAGGCGACGAUGCGUAGCCGACCUGAGAGGGUGAUCGGCCACAUUGGGACUGAGACACGGCCCAGACUCCUACGGGAGGCGGCAGUGGGGAAUAUUGCACAAUGGGGGAAACCCUGAUGCAGCAACGCCGCGUGAGUGAUGACGGCCUUCGGGUUGUAAAGCUCUGUCUUCAGGGAAGAUAAUGACGGUACCUGAGGAGGAAGCCACGGCUAACUACGUGCCAGCCGCCGCCGUAAUAC
rnacentral:rRNA from 1 species